rnacentral:rRNA from 1 species
AGUGAACGCUGGCGGUAGGCCUAACACAUGCAAGUCGAACGGCAGCACAGUAAGAGCUUGCUAUUACUGGUGGCGAGUGGCGGACGGGUGAGGAAUACAUCGGAAUCUACUUUUUCGUGGGGGAUAACGUAGGGAAACUUACGCUAAUACAGCAUACGACCUACGGGUGAAAGCAGGGGAUCUUCGGACCUUGCGCGAUUGAAUGAGCCGAUGUCGGAUUAGCUAGUUGGCGGGGUAAAGGCCCACCAAGGCGACGAUCCGUAGCUGUACUGUGAGGCUGAUCAGCCACACUAGAACUAACACUCGUUCCAGAGUCCUAAGGAAGGCAGGAAUGUGUAAUAUCGGACGAUGGGCCGAAAAAUCGUCCACUACUACCGCGUGGGUGAAGAUGACUUUCGGGUUGUAAAUCCCUUUUUUUGUGAAUGAAAAGUAGCACGUUAAUACCUCGCUGUUCUGACGGUACCCAAAGAAUAAGCACCGGCUAGCUACGUG